GCCGGCCUGAGAGGGCGACCGGCCACACUGGGACUGAKACACGGCCCAUUACUCCUACGGGAGGCAGCAGUGGGGAAUAUUGCACAAUGGGCGAAAGCCUGAUGCAGCGACGCCGCGUGAGGGAUGACGGCCUUCGGGUUGUAAACCUCUUUCAGCAGGGAAGAAGCGAAAGUGACGGUACCUGCAGAAGAAGCGCCGGCUAACUACGUGCCAGCAGCCGCGGUAAUACGUAGGGCGCAAGCGUUGUCCGGAAUUAUUGGGCGUAAAGAGCUCGUAGGCGGCUUGUCACGUCGGUUGUGAAAGCCCGGGGYUUAACCCCGGGUCUGCAGUCGAUACGGGCAGGCUAGAGUUCGGUAGGGGAGAUCGGAAUUCCUGGUGUAGCGGUGAAAUGCGCAGAUAUCAGGAGGAACACCGGUGGCGAAGGCGGAUCUCUGGGCCGAUACUGACGCUGAGGAGCGAAAGCGUGGGGAGCGAACAGGAUUAGAUACCCUGGUAGUCCACGCCGUAAACGGUGGGCACUAGGUGUGGGCAACAUUCCACGUUGUCCGUGCCGCAGYUAACGCAUUAAGUGCCCCGCCUGGGGAGUACGGCCGCAAGGCUAAAACUCAAAGGAAUUGACGGGGGCCCGCACAAGCGGCGGAGCAUGUGGCUUAAUUCGACGCAACGCGAAGAACCUUACCAAGGCUUGACAUACACCGGAAACACCCAKAGAUGGKUGCCCCCUUGUGGUCGGUGUACAGGUGGUGCAUGGCUGUCGUCWGYUCGUGUCGUGAGAUGUUGGGUUWAGUCCCGCAACGAGCGCAACCCCUUGUCCCGUGUUGCAGCAGGCCCUUGUGGUGCUGGG
rnacentral:rRNA from 1 species